UUCUGCUCACAGCCAAAGCAAUUUCCUGGCAAGCGCAGCGCUGUCAGCUCUCUGAUGCCUGCUUGUGAAAUAUAGUGGCUGGGAGCGGGCCAUCGGCAGCCGGUGUCAGCCUGAUGGAUGGAGCCCGAGAGGAAGCACAGCACCCGCCAUUAAGGCAGCUCCAUCAGCCACUUGAAGGAGAUCCCAGGGUCUAAUAGAGAACAUGUAGACAAACCCUAUGCGUGAAUUUUACACUGGCUUUUUAACCAGCUUUUAACAAGCCAGAGGGGUAACAUCCUGUCCAUGAGAACAUUAUGGAACAUCACCCCUUGGAUGAGUUGACCCAAGUGCUUGGAGCAAGAACGGAUUGGUGGAGGGUUGCACAGAAGAGAAUGCUGUGCUUCCUCAAAGCACGUGGAAGAUGAAAACGAAUCGACUACACAUCAUAAGUAACUUCUUCAAGUCAUUUCCAGACCAUUUAUAAAAAUCAGAAAGGGCAUUGGUCCUGCAGAUCUCUGUGGUACCCCACUAACUACUGUACAUUUCCCUAAUACAAGCAUUCAGCCCUUAUCUGUAUCCUCUCUUUUCCUUUUCAUUAACCUAUUUUUAAUCUACAGUACCUACAUGUUUUUCUUUGAAUGACUACCAUUUGCAAUUUGAGAAUUUGCAGUCUCUCUUUUUUAUUGGUAGGGGCUACAUUAGCAAUUUUCCAAUCAAUGGAUAUUAUCUCUGUCUUGAGACUACUGCUUUUUGUUAAUGGCCUGUGAAUAAUCUUUUUUCCUUAAGGAGCACUGAAAGAAUACCACUGGACCCUGAAGAUCUA